AUGCUUACUUUGGCAACACAUAUAACAAAAUUGGAAUGAGACAGAGAAGAUUAGCAUGGCCCCUGUGCAAGGAUGACACACAAAUUCAUGAAGCAUUCCAUAUUUUU
rnacentral:snRNA from 1 species